rnacentral:rRNA from 1 species
UACAGGGGGUGCAAACGUUGCUCGGAAUUACUGGGCGUAAAGCGCGUGUAGGCGGCCCUGCAAGUCGGAUGUGAAAUCCCACGGCUCAACCGUGGAAGUGCAUUCGAAACUGCAGGGCUAGAGUCCUGGAGAGGAAGGUGGAAUGCUUGGUGUAGAGGUGAAAUUCGUAGAUAUCAAGCGGAACACCGGUGGCGAAGGCGGCCUUCUGGACAGUGACUGACGCUGAGACGCGAAAGCGUGGGGAGCAAACAGG